CCUACGGGGUGCAGCAGUGAGGAAUAUUGGUCAAUGGACGCAAGUCUGAACCAGCCAUGCCGCGUGCAGGAAGACGGCUCUAUGAGUUGUACACUGCUUUUGUACGAGGGUAAACGCAGAUACGCGUAUCUGUCUGAAAGUAUCGUACGAAUAAGGAUCGGCUAACUCCGUGCCAGCAGCCGCGGUAAUACGGAGGAUUCAAGCGUUAUCCGGAUUUAUUGGGUUUAAAGGGUGCGUAGGCGGGCGGAUAAGUUAGAUGUGAAAUCCCGAGGCUCAACUUCGGAAUUGCCUCUGAUACUGUUCGGCUAGAGAGUAGUUGCGGUAGGCGGAAUGUAUGGUGUAGCGGUGAAAUGCUUAGAGAUCAUACAGAACACCGAUUGCGAAGGCAGCUUACCAAGCUACUUCUGACGUUGAGGCACGAAAGCGUGGGGAGCAAACAGGAUUAGAUACCCUUGUAGUC
rnacentral:rRNA from 1 species